rnacentral:other from 1 species
ACAUACCUGCGCUGUGCGUAUACUCAUGUUGUCUUAAACCUUUGAGUGUUAAAAGGGAGCUCAAAAUUUAGCUCGCAGAUAGCACGCCCUUCUUGGGACGCUAAACCCGGCUAUGAGGGCACCCACCUAGUAGAUCUGGGUAUUUAAGACACUUAGGGUUACGGCAGUGCGGGCUUAUU